rnacentral:rRNA from 1 species
AGUGAACGCUGGCGGUAGGCCUAACACAUGCAAGUCGAACGGCAGCACAGUAAGAGCUUGCUCUUACGGGUGGCGAGUGGCGGACGGGUGAGGAAUACAUCGGAAUCUACUUUUUCGUGGGGGAUAACGUAGGGAAACUUACGCUAAUACCGCAUACGACCUACGGGUGAAAGCAGGGGAUCUUCGGACCUUGCGCGAUUGAAUGAGCCGAUGUCGGAUUAGCUAGUUGGCGGGGUAAAGGCCCACCAAGGCGACGAUCCGUAGCUGGUCUGAGGAGAUGGAUCGGCCACAUGGGACCUGGGACACGGUCCAGACCCCAACGGAAGGAAGCAGUGGGAAUAUUGGACAAUGGGCGCAAGCCUGAUCCAGCCAUACCGCGUGGGUGAAGAAGGCCUUCGGGUUGUAAAGCCCUUUUGUUGGGAAAGAAAAGCAGCAGGUUAAUACCCCGCUGUUCUGACGGUACCCAAAGAAUAAGCACCGGCUAACUUCGUG